rnacentral:rRNA from 1 species
AGUGAACGCUGGCGGCGUGCCUAAUACAUGCAAGUCGAACGGAGUGGCGCACGGGUGAGUAAUAUAUAGCUAAUCUGCCCCUUGGUGGAGGACAACAGUUAGAAAUGACUGCUAAUACUCCAUAGCAAGGGAUGAGACUAUAUCGUAUCAGCUAGUCGGUGGGGUAACGGCCUACCGAGGCGAUGACGCGUAACAGGUCUGAGAGGAUGAUCAGUCACAUUGGAACGGAGACACGGGCCAAACUCCUACGGGAGGCAGCAGUAGGGAAUAGUGCCCAAUGGGGGAAAACCUGACGCACCAACGCCUCGUGAAGGAUGAUACUUUGCGGAGCGUAAACUCCGUUUGUUAGGGAAGCGGUACCUACCGAAUAAGCACCGGCUAACUCCGUGCCAGCAGCCGCGGUAAUAC